CCACAAGGCCACAACGGCAAUAUGGGUUGCUGCUCACCGUCGCGCCGCCACCUUCUCUGACUGUGAUGGCCACCAAAGGAUUGACGCCAAUGAUCCUCAACAGCCACCUUCUACCCAUUUGCCGCUGAUAUAGAUGUUUUUUAAUUGCUUGAAAAACUGCAACAUAACCCACUAUACAUCAGUGUUUGCUUGCUCUAAACUUUUAGUUCUCCAUCUGGUUCUUCAGUUAUGUUGAUUGCAGACAAACAGCUGUCAAUUUCAUGUGGCCCAAAAGGGCCCCUUCUCGUGCGGUUACAUCACACGCAAGGAGGAGUAGAGGAAGUAUGUAGGUAUGUACGAGUAAGAAUCUUUUCCCAUGCAUAAUUAGUACUCCAAAGGUUAUGGAUAUUUUCAGUGUACGCCAUGUGCGAUUUUAUCAGUACACACCCUUAAAAAAUUCAUGUUGUGUAUGUUUGUUCUUUUCAGUGUAUUUGCAAGAUAGUAAAAAUAAUUUAUUGUGCAGGUUGCACUUCUAUUAAGAAACUAUCAGCGUGAACCGCUGGACUUAAACUGCCAAAUAUGUUCUUGAUCACCAACAGGUAUAUUGCUCUCCUUAUACACACAUAUGUUGCUGUUUUUUAUUAAAAAUAAAAUCCAUCGUCCUGAUAGCAAACGGUAUUUAGUUUUCUAGACACUUUAUGUGUAAUUUGUCCUAGGUAUUUGAUAGUUGUGAUCUUCAAGCCAUUUCAACAAAAUCUAAAAAGUGGGAACUGGUGUUUUGGAAGCAAAAUACAAAGCAACUAAGACGAAACAAAAGACUUAGCAACAAAAUCUAUAGUGGAAACUGAUAUUCAAGCCAUUUCAUCUGUUAUUGGUUAUUGAUUGUUCAGUGACCAAACUGCCGUUAGUUAAUUCUGAUUUUGAUUAUAGCUCAUAACAACUUAAAGACGUCGUAAUAUAAAUAUAGCAAAUAUUAUGGUAUAUUUCCUACAGAGGUUAAGCAGAGCUGAUCUAAAGAAUUCAGAUAACUCUGUGCAACAGUGUGAAACUAUUUGAAGUACAUUUUUCUCUUAUAUAAAACCAACCAAAGGAGGAGUGAGUCCAUUAGGUUUUUCUGUGAUAAAAAGACUGUAGACAACUUCAUGAGAAAAAAAUGGCAGCUUUAUCUUGACGAUUACAGUUUCCAGUCUAGCUCAGGUGUUUCAUGGAUUCUGAAAUAUCUAUUCUUGAACCCUACUGAAGUGGCCUUCUUUCUGAGGAAAAUAGUUCACGAAUGGAUUACUUGGAAGGCAAAACUUUACAGUUCCUUCCAAGUGAAAUUACUUGCAAAAUACAGAAUUCAGGAGAUAUUAUUCCAGAUUCUGAAAACCAUGCUUCAAUCAUGUAACCACUAUCUAUUUCCACCAUUGAAACUUCUCUGCUAUUUUCUUUAGAGGCAUAUGGGACCUCUGAAAUCAAUGAAACUUGACUAUCAUGAUAUAUUUCUUCACUGAUUCUUUUUUAUCAUGGAACUUAACUAUCCAGUGUGUGUAGUGGCAAAUAGAUGCUUAAUGGUACUGCUACAUGAUUAGGAUAGCAACAUAAUUAGGCUUCUUACCUGCAGUAGAUACAUCCAAGAGUAUACAACAACCAGGAGUACUUCAGACUCCUUUUCAGAACCAUCUAAUGCUUUUUGCUUGGUUGUAAUGGAUCGUCGUUUAACAAAAACACGUGCAGAAAAUCUCUUGUCAACUGAUAGAUCCCUGAACUUGAGAUAUUGGGAAAACACUUGUAGAAACUCUUUAGAUCUGGAGAAGAGAAAUGAAGAGCUCUAUAGCUGAACAAGGAUCAUCGUUUGGCACAGGUGAAUAACUCUUACGCUGGGUCGUGUCCCUUCAUAUUUUGUUUCUUUUGGUGAUCAUGUUCCCCCUCCAGUACACACAUUGUUUCAUCUGUACAUAACCAUUGAUCUUGUACUCAUAUGAACAAGGCAAUGGUGCUGACCUGUGGCUUCAACCAAAUGAAAGAAUUAGUGGCAAAAGUACUCCAAAGUGCAUAUACUUAUUACGGUGAAAAUAACAAGUUUUACCAAUUUUAAUCCACCAUAUUAAACCACCAUCAACAUGGCACAGGUAAAUUAAAACAAUUAAUAAGUAAACUGGCAAAUUUCAAAGAUAUACUCCAAGUUAACAAUGUCAUAGCUUGCAAUAGCUGCUUCUAAGAACUACAGUAGUUGCAAUUUUAAUCCACAGGAAAAAAGAGCCAUCACUUAUUAUAAUAACAAAUGGAUCUCUAGCAUAACCAUAAAGAACUUCACAUUUUAAAGUUUAACCUAUUCUAGAAAAAUAUACCUAUUCAAACUGUUCACUGGAGAAUAAGCAGAUGAUCUCCCAUACUUAGAAGCAGCUAAAGCAGCAUCGAGAUCAUCUGGUGUAGCCCAUACUUUAAUGUUGGUGUCAUCUCAAAAUUAUAUAUGAAAUAGUGUCAGUUUUUAAAACACUAAAUCUUGUUCGAUGAUUCAGAUUUUUUUUUGAAAUGGAGGCAAAAGAUUUGCCUCAUCUAUUAAAUAAGGAGAGAAUAGAGCUUAGAGUUUUACAACACACCCACAGGUACGGCAUGACAAUUACUCGCCCGCAAAAAUAUACCCUAAUUUCUUUGCACCGGCGGUCACCCAAAGCUUGGCCUCGUCGACGAUGGCGGCGAGUAGGAUGGUCGGUGGCGCACUCUUAUGACGAAACACCCAAGCGUUUCUUUCUUUCUAAGAUGAUUCAGAUAUCAAUAAUUCUGUUUUCGAUCAACAAAUUAAAUAUUUUUCCAAAAAAAAGAACUAAAUAAUAAUAGAAAAGAGGUUACCCUUGAUUAUAGACCAUCAAUCCGAAAUUAGUUGAUCAAUUCCGAUCCAACCUAGGCAAUUCCUUGUCUGCUAUUGUCAGUAUUCCCAGCGGCCGCUUGUGUGUGGCCGGAGGCGCUCGGCGAAGUCCAUGUUCUUGUGUGCAUCGAGCGCCUGGAGACGGGAGCGAAGCAGCAUCGCAUCUGUGGCUCGUAAUCAGGGCCCGGGAUUAACAAACUCAGAAUUGAAAUUAGGAAAAAGAAAAGGAGUACAAGGACGUGGGCUACAUGCAUGACGAACAUGAUCAACCCGAUUAGGUAUGCAGAUUAGGCUGGUCAUAGUGGGGAGUAACUUAGACUAGUAACAUACAUAUGUUACUAGUCCAUGUUACUACCUUCAUCAGGCUAGCCAUAGUGGGAGUAACUUAGGUAGUAACAUAACACAUCUCAAGAAACAAUUGCUUAUGUGGCAUGGAGUUAAUGAGGAAAGAGAUGCUUGUGGUAACAUAAUAUGUUACUGUAACAUAACACACUUCAAGACAAAAUGAGUCUAUAUCUCAAUUAAUGAAGGCUUGCAUGUUAUCAUCCAUAUGUUACUACCCACUAUGAAGGUAGUAACAUAGACUAAUAACAUAUGCAUGUUUUUGGAGGGAGGGAAAAAAUCGGUGGGAGGAAGAUCGCCUGGUGGGGGGUAGAUCGAUGGAAGAGAAACGCACGAUGCGAACGAACCACUUACGUAUUGAGACAUUAGGAGUAGGGAUUUGAAAUCUCACUUUUGCGCAAAUUAAAAUUUAGUUUUAAUUUAAAUACGAAUUUGAGUAAUUUUGCUAUGUCUUUUAUUCUGUAAAUCAUAUAAAAAUGUUUUAUAUAUGGAAGUUGGACCUUAGCCGAAAAAGGCUUUCGCCCCGCUAUAUUGAUAUAGCAACCGCCCAAUACAACAAAGAGUCCAAUGCUGGGGCAAACAGCACAAGCAUGCCCAAAAGAAACAAAAGAGAAAGAAGAGAGAAAAUAAUGUCCACAGCGUCGGAUCGACGAAAACGAUGAUAACCCAAAACCGUUGCGCCCACCGGAGAUGUACCACCUCGCUCCAGGCACCUCGAACCUCCGCAUACCAAGCAGCACCUUCAGGAAGGAACACGACGACGACGACGACGCUGCUGCCCGGACAGGUCCUAGGGUUUCCCCCGGUACGCGGAGAGGCGUGGGGAAGGGGAAGACCCGACGCCCUUCAGGAAGGAACGAUGGCGCCCACGGGCGUCACCGCGUCGGGGCCGGCAAGCCGGCCCGGAUUUCUCCCAUCCGCCAAACACCCACAACCCCGAACGGUCCGACGCGCACCACCAGACAAGCCACCCACGAACGUGCGCCACCACGGACUUGCCAUCAUCACCGCCGCUUCACCGUGGUCAUCGAAGCGAGACCGACAAGGACGAAAGGGAGCAGCCGGGAACGAGGAACGGCAGCGAGAGCAGCCACGCCGGGGGACACAACCUCCACCGCCAUCGGCGGUCACCGACCGGACGCGGCAAGGGGAGCGUACCAGGCCCUCGAGGCCCGGCCAAGCCCAAAAGGGGCUCGUGAAGCACCCGUCGCCGAGCUGCAGUAGACGUGCCGCCGUGUCCACCACCCCCUCGCACGAGCCGCACCACCACCGCCCCGGCCGGAGCCGCCGCAGGCGAGACCGAGUCAGGCCCGCCCAGAUCCAGAUGAGGCCCAAAAGGGCCCAGAUCUGGGCCGGGCGGGCGCCGCCACCAUCCACCGCGCCAGCGCGCCGCCAAGGGGCUGCGCCGCCGCCUCUAGGCCAUCCGGAGCUGCGCCGCCUGGAGCAGCCGCCGCUGCCGGAAUCACCAUGGACCGAGGAGCACCGCCGCGGGACGCCACCACCCGAGCCGUGGCACCNNNNNNNNNNNNNNNNNNNNNNNNNNNNNNNNNNNNNNNNNNNNNNNNNNNNNNNNNNNNNNNNNNNNNNNNNNNNNNNNNNNNNNNNNNNNNNNNNNNNNNNNNNNNNNNNNNNNNNNNNNNNNNNNNNNNACGCGGGGGGCGGGCCGGGAGGGAGAGGGAGGCGGGGCGCGGCGCGGCGCACGCGGCCGAAGGCGCGGGAGGGUGGGGGGAGGGGGCCGGCGGCGGCGGCGGAGCGGGGGGAACCCUAGGAGGAGCGGAGCGAGUUCCUCUGUUCACACCUCCUCCCACUUGUAAUCGUACUCUGGCAGGGAGAUUUGGAUUGAAACCCAAGUUGGACCUUAGGACCUAACCUUUCUGUUGGAACUGAUGGAUUAGUUCUCCAACAUAGUUUAGAUGUUGUUUUAUCAUCAACAUCUUAAUUUGACCUUCUUUGGUCAUCGUUUAAAAACUUCGUUGAACUAAAAAUUUAAUCUUAGGAUAAAUCUCUUAGAUUGAUCCCUAGAAAACCUCUCUGGUCAUUUGAACCACGACAAAAAUCUGGAGUUACAAGAUUAUGGAUUUAAUUCUUUUAUCUCGAAACCUAUGCCAUACCAUUGCCGUUUACCCAAGUCAAAUAUUCCGAAUAGUCUUGUGAUAAAUUUGUUGUAUGAACUUGGUCUCACAACCCUUCAGACCAUAAUCCUCACUUAGUAUCAAUAUUAUCCAACCCUAGAAUAUGACUAUGUCAUAUUUUCUUCCAAGACCACACCUAAUCCUAUAUCAACCCUAACAAUGCCAUAGAAAUUAUGAUAGUGGCAACCGAAUAAUUUGUGUUGUUAUUUGUAUUUUUAUUGUAUGUUGAAUGCUUGCUUGAACCAUUGUUAUGUAAUGUGGAUAUGCCGAGUGUCUUACUUGAGUUAUUUAUCGCGUUAGAUUACGACGAGUGCGAAGGUGAAUUCUACGAGGAGGUAGAACCUUGUGACUGCAAAAUCGAAGGCAAGUUGCAAAUUGAUCAUGCUUUGACCUAUGUUUUCAUAUUAUGCAUAAUCUUUUGUAUUUUAAUGCUAUGCAUGUUUUAC
rnacentral:lncRNA from 1 species